UACGAAGGGGGCUAGCGUUGCUCGGAAUUACUGGGCGUAAAGCGCACGUAGGCGGAUUGUUAAGUCGGGGGUGAAGUCCUGGAGCUCAACUCCAGAACUGCCUUCGAUACUGGCGAUCUCGAGUCCGGGAGAGGUGAGUGGAACUGCGAGUGUAGAGGUGAAAUUCGUAGAUAUUCGCAAGAACACCAGUGGCGAAGGCGGCUCACUGGCCCGGUACUGACGCUGAGGUGCGAAAGCGUGGGGAGCAAACAGG
rnacentral:rRNA from 1 species